AGCGAACGCUGGCGGCAUGCUUAACACAUGCAAGUCGCACGGGUGGGUUUCGGCCCAUUAGUGGCGGACGGGUGAGUAACGCGUAGGGAUUUAUCGUUGGGUGGGGGAUAACCUUGGGAAACUGGGGCUAAUACCGCAUGACGCCUGUGGGCCAAAGCUGAGGCGCCUGACGAGGAACCUGCGUUCGAUUAGCUUGUUGGUGGGGUAAUGGCCUACCAAGGCUGCGAUCGAUAGCUGGUCUGAGAGGAUGAUCAGCCACACUGGGACUGAGACACGGCCCAGACUCCUACAGGAGGCAGCAGUGGGGAAUAUUGGACAAUGGGCGCAAGCCUGAUCCAGCAAUGCCGCGUGGAUGAAGAAGGUUUUCGGAUUGUAAAGUCCUUUCGGCGGGGACGAUGAUGACGGUACCCGCAGAAGAAGCCCCGGCUAACUUCGUGCCAGCCGCCGCCGUAAAAC
rnacentral:rRNA from 1 species